rnacentral:rRNA from 1 species
UACAGGGGGUGCAAACGUUGCUCGGAAUUAUUGGGCGUAAAGCGCGCGUAGGCGGCUACUUAAGUCGGAUGUGAAAGCCCUUGGCUCAACUGAGGAAGUGCACCCGAAACUGAGUGGCUUGAGUACGAAAGAGGGUCGCGGAAUUCCCGGUGUAGAGGUGAAAUUCGUAGAUAUCGGGAGGAACACCAAUGGCGAAAGCAGCUUUCUGGGACGGUACUGACGCUGAGACGCGAAAGCGUGGGGAGCGAACAGG